rnacentral:rRNA from 1 species
UACUAGAGUAGCACUCGCAUAUCAAUAAGCGGAGGAAAAGAAACUAACUAGGAUUCCCCUAGUAACGGCGAGUGAAGCGGGAAGAGCUCAAAUUUGAAAUCUUAAAGGGUUUCCCUUUACGAAUUGUAGUUUAAAGAAGUGUUUUCUGUUGAGGUUUUGGUAAAAGUUCUUUGGAAUAGGACAUCAUAGAGGGUGAGAAUCCCGUAUUUGACCUUUACUUUCAACUUUGUGAUACACUUUCAAAGAGUCGGAUUGUUUGGGAAUGCAGUCCAAAAUGGGUGGUAAAUUUCAUCUAAAGCUAAAUAUUGGCGAGAGACCGAUAGCGAACAGGUACCGUGAGGGAAAGAUGAAAAGAACUUUGAAAAGAGAGUUAAACAGUACGUGAAAUUGUCAAGAGGGAAGCGUUUGACACCAGUGUUGUUUUUCUGAAAAUCAAUUAAAGAACUGUUUAUGCUAAGCUGUUUAGACUUUAUCAGCUAUCUGCUUUAGUUUUGAGCUUUUCUUUAAUGCACUUUUCAGUUAACAAGUCAACAUCAAUUUCUUUUGCUGUAAAAAAGCUUGAGGAAGGUGGCUUGAGAUUCGUCUUAAGUGUUUAUAGCCUCUUGCCUAUGCAGUCGGAGAGAUUGAGGUCUGCAGCGUAGAUCCUUCGGGGCUAAAUGCAUUUGUGCUAAGUUAUAGCAUUUUAUAGACAACUUGUUGACUAUGAUUUGUCUUGUAGGCUUACUCGCUUAUGUUAUUUUACCUACGCUUAGGAUGUUGAACUCUAUCACACACAG